UUGGAAGUUUAUAAGAUGCUGUAUAAUACAUAAAAUGUUAGAAAAAUAAAUCAGAACUUCUUUCUCCUACAGGUUUGUUGGGAGAAUAACAUAAUUCAAAUUUGAAAGGAGAGAAGAAAGUUGUUGGAAGAAGAAAGGUGCUCUGCUGGAGUAAUUCAUCGGUCUGUUACACAUCCUGGAGUACUUUGCUGGCAAAGUGAAGAAUGUCAUCUGCUAAAGCUCCAGAGAACAUGCUGGCUUCUGUAGAAGCAUAAUAACUUAUUAAAAAAACAACAGCACAACUCUGGAGAUUCUGCUGAAGUUUUUGCAAAUAAUCCUCAGUGCCUCUGGAAAAAUCUCCAUGUUUCUAAAAUUUCUAAAAAUUCAGUAAAAAUCUCAUUAACUUGAUGUUGGUAUUUUAUAGCCAGUUCUGAUUUGAAGAGUAAUUCCCAAGUCACUUAAAUUACUUUAUCUGUACAAAUACACAAGUUGGAAAUUUGACCCUAGUGCAAUGUUCCUCCAGAAACAGUUGAUAUCAAGCGACCAUUUUUCAAACUCUGGAAAUAGUUAGAGUUAACUC
rnacentral:lncRNA from 1 species